rnacentral:rRNA from 1 species
CCUACGGGAGGCAGCAGUGAGGAAUAUUGGUCAAUGGGCGCGAGCCUGAACCAGCCAAGCAGCGUGAAGGAUGACUGCCCUACGGGUUGUAAACUUCUUUUAUAAAGAAAUAAAGUGAGGCACGUGUGCCUUUUUGUAUGUACUUUAUGAAUAAGGAUAGGCUAACUCCGUGCCAGCAGCCGCGGUAAUACGGAGGCUCCGAGCGUUAUCCGGAUUUAUUGGGUUUAACGGGAGCGUAGAUGGGUUGUUAAGUCAGUUGUGAAAGUUUGCGGCUCAACCGUAAAAUUGCAAUUGAUACUGGCAGCCUUGAGUACAGUGGAGGUAGGCGGAAUUCGUGGUGUAGCGGUGAAAUGCUUAGAUAUCACGAAGAACUCCGAUUGCGAAGGCAGCUUACUAAACUGCCACUGACAUUGAUGCUCGAAAGUGUGGGUAUCAAACAGGAUUAGAUACCCGGGUAGUC